rnacentral:rRNA from 1 species
CCUGAUCCAGCCAUGCCGCGUGAGUGAUGAAGGCCUUAGGGUUGUAAAGCUCUUUCAGUGGGGAAGAUAAUGACGGUACCCACAGAAUAAGCCCCGGCUAACUUCGUGCCAGCAGCCGCGGUAAUACUACGUGCCAGCAGCCGCGGUAAUA